rnacentral:tRNA from 1 species
GCCCGCGUAGCUCAAUCGGUAGAGCGUGGGACUCUUACAGAGUAGGGUUCAUCCCAAGGCUGCGGGUUCGAGCCCCGCCGUGGGCU